UCCUUUCUGUGUAUUUGGUGCCAGCAUAUUUCCCUGACAGGGAUGUGAGAGGUGACUGGAUGAGUUAAUUGACCGUGGAAAACGCCUAAGAGGGGAGUCUUUCCUUCUACGUCUUCAGAGGGUCUAUAGCUGGUAUAUUGUACAGUCAUCUUCUCCACAUCUACUGCAAACUUGAACUUCAUUGUAAGAAUAGGAGAAAUGGGCAAGGGAAGAGUUCUUUUUUUGAUUCUUACAAGGUCCAAGGCAGUGCAUGAGCAGUUACAGAGAAACCAGCCCAUACAGGAAAAAAAGCAGAAGACUGGGAUGUAAAUAGCGAAGGUCACCACAGAUUCAUCAGCUAGCUGUGCAGUGCACCUCUUUCCAUGUGUUAAGAGAUGUGUUAUCAUGAAAUGAAUGGAAAGAAAGAGGAAUGCAGAAAUGAAAAAUGGAAGUGAAGACAAAAGUAAAGUAUCUCUAGUUAUCUAUCUCUACAAAAACCAUAAAUAUCCUUGACAUUUGGAUAACUGGCUGGUAUGUGUGACGAAGGGUAUAGCAGAGGCAUUGGCUCACUCAGAAGUCAUAUCAGCUUUUGCUGGUGAUAUCCACGCUUAUGGGGUCCUUGCAGCAUGAAGUCCACCUGGAGAUGAGCUGCAGUUCAGUCCACAUCUGCUAUGUCCCCCGACUUGGUCACUCCUGUCACAUGAAAUCUCUGAGGAUAUGAUUGGCACGACGUGACCUGUCCCACUUUUUCGGGAGCUUAAAGGAAGACUGACAAACUAAACUGUGCAAAAGAGAAGUUUGGAUUUCCUCCAAAACAUCAGAUGUCUGCUGUUCUGAACAGAGAAAAUGAAAAAUAGCUCUUACGCUAUUGCAAAUGCAAAUGCAAAUGCAAAAAAUUGCCAUGUUGUCACAUUUGUUUCUAAACAUGUCUCCACUACAGAAUGGCUAUCAUUCUGAUUACUUGCUAACAUGUUUUACCCUUGCUUCUUACCUAGUGCAGUGGGAGUCUGUAUUGACUGUAAAAUUCUUUGAAGUAAAGGUUUUCUUAUAGAAAAACAAACCUUACAGAAGAGAAUGGAAUCUGUUGUCAUUAUCUUCUGUAUACAUCUAAUCUUACAGUGUUAUGUAAGGACUGACAUUUAAAUAAAGCACUGUAAAGUAUCUACCCAUACCAUCAUAGCUAAUAGUAUGUUGCCUCUUAUUAGUAGAGAGUUUUAUUUGUUUCUCCGUUUUCUGCAAAUUAUGUCUAAUCUAUCUUCUGUUGCUUUUGUAGUGUAGAGGUUUUCAUUGCAUCAGAUGCUGAAGUGUUAUCUUUCUUUCCUGAUGGUACUGCUUUAUUUCUGAACAGGAACAAAGAAGUUAUUGCAUAAUUCCCUGAACAUCCUAAACCAGAUGAUUCAUUGUUUAGAAUUGCAGAUUAUGAUCGAAAGGGCUAAUAUAUACUUGAAACAUAUUUCUGUCAUCAUAAUUACAUACAAAAUAAUGCCAUUGCAAACACAUUAUAGUCUACUCUGGUAAGAGUGUGAAGCUGAAUAAUGAAGAAUCAUGAUGACAAAAUUUUUACCUUUGAUUAAAUACAGGGCUAUGACACAGAAGAACAAAAGCUCAAACGAGAAGAUACUGACAUUCUCGCUAGUGAUUCUCACACACUCUUUUCAAGUUGGUAUACCUCUUGCUCCAGAUCAGCUAAACACAAGAUACAUCAAUUGUGACAACAUUUUUCAUAUUUGUUUUCAGGCAUCUCCAGCUCUUAGGCAAAUUGAGAUGCAUUAAAAUAUAAAGCAGAUGUCUAAUGAAUUCUAUCAAAUGGUAGUUUUCCAAAUGAAAAGUUAUUUUUCAUGCUUGCUCAAAUUGUUAUCGAUGCUGUAGCCAUCCAAUAAGAGCAGGGCCUGUAUGUUCUACAGUAAUGUAGUUUAUUUACUCAAUAAUUGAUUGAAGCCUGUGCUUUUGGAGUUUGUUAGCAUAGCAAGCUUAGCAGACCAUUGACUUAUCUGUAAUUAUUCAGCAUAUAGAUUGGUUAAAUCCUAAUGCAUGACCCCUAAUGUGAUUAAACACCUGCACUGAUUUGAUGUUUAAUUAUUAAUAAAAGCAUCUAAUUAUUCUGCUU